rnacentral:rRNA from 1 species
CCGAGUUAUUCAACUCAUCAACCCUGUGAACUUACCUAAACGUUGCUUCGGCGGGAACAGACGGCCCCGCAAAACGGGCCGCCCCCGCCAGAGGACCCCUAACUCUGUUUCUAUAAUGUUUCUUCUGAGUAAAACAAGCAAAUAAAUUAAAACUUUCAACAACGGAUCUCUUGGCUCUGGCAUCGAUGAAGAACGCAGCGAAAUGCGAUAAGUAAUGUGAAUUGCAGAAUUCAGUGAAUCAUCGAAUCUUUGAACGCACAUUGCGCCCGCCAGUAUUCUGGCGGGCAUGCCUGUUCGAGCGUCAUUACAACCCUCAGGCCCCCGGGCCUGGCGUUGGGGAUCGGCGGAGCCCCCCCGUGGGCACACGCCGUCCCCCAAAUACAGUGGCGGUCCCGCCGCAGCUUCCAUCGCGUAGUAGCUAACACCUCGCGACUGGAGAGCGGCGCGGCCACGCCGUAAAACACCCCAACUCUUCUGAACAACAGGGAUUGCCCCAGUAACGGCGAGUGAAGCGGCAACAGCUCAAAUUUGAAAUCUGGCUCUCGGGCCCGAGUUGUAAUUUGUAGAGGAUGCUUUUGGUGAGGUGCCUUCCGAGUUCCCUGGAACGGGACGCCAUAGAGGGUGAGAGCCCCGUCUGGUUGGACGCCGAACCUCUGUAAAGCUCCUUCGACGAGUCGAGUAGUUUGGGAAUGCUGCUCUAAAUGGGAGGUAUAUGUCUUCUAAAGCUAAAUACCGGCCAGAGACCGAUAGCGCACAAGUAGAGUGAUCGAAAGAUGAAAAGAACUUUGAAAAGAGAGUUAAACAGUACGUGAAAUUGUUGAAAGGGAAGCGCUUGUGACCAGACUUGGGCUUGGUUGAUCAUCCGGGGUUCUCCCCGGUGCACUCUUCCGGCCCAGGCCAGCAUCAGUUCGCCCUGGGGGACAAAGGCAUCGGGAACGUGGCUCUCUCCGGGGAGUGUUAU